rnacentral:rRNA from 1 species
CCUACGGGAGGCAGCAGUGGGGAAUAUUGGGCAAUGGGCGCAAGCCUUACCCAGCAAUACCGCGUGAGUGAAGAAGGUCUUCUGAUUGUAAAGCUCUUUGAUCAGGGACGAACAGAUGACGGUACCUGAAGAACCAGCCCCGGCCAACUACGUGCCCACAGACGCGGUAAAACGUAGGGGGCGAGCGUUGUCCGGGAUGACUGGGCGUAAAGGGUGCGGAGGCGGCAUAAGAAGUUAGAAGUGAAAUACCCAGAGCUGAACUCGGGUGCUGCUUCUAAGACUGUUGAGCUUGAGUGCGGGAGAGGUGAAUGGAAUUACUAGUGUAGCGGUGGAAUGCGUAGAUAUUAGGAGGAACACCAGAGGCGAAGGCGAUUAACUGGACCGUAACUGACGCUGAGGCACGAAAGUGUGGGUAGCAAACAGGAUUAGAUACCCCUGUAGUC